rnacentral:lncRNA from 1 species
GGCACACAGCCCUCCCCAGCAUGGGAUCAGCCGACUCUUGCCUCUCCCCGCCGGAAGAGGGCAGUGGGGUGUCUGUUCCCCAGCGCAGGCCAGCUGCUGGCUUUGCUUCUCACUUAGAGCCACGCUGGUCAUCUGCGACCCAGGGGCUUAGCCCACAGGCAGCUGGGGCGCGUGGGCCGGCAGCAGGCAGCAGGACACUUGAAAAUUGUCUCUGGCCAGGGCUAGCUGUCUCCCCAGAGGACACACAGAGGAUAUCUUCCCUCCUGCCUUUGGACGAUUUAGACAUGGCUGGAGAGACCAGGCCGGGCCCCACCCAGCCAGGCCAGAAGAGGCAGCCGGGCACAGCCAUUUCCUGCAGUAACUAUGACCUGGACUACAAGCUGUACAGGGAAGAUGUCCCCUACAGGGUGUAUGAAUACCAAGGAAUCCCUCCACUCCUCAACCGCAUGCCUGUCAAGAUCCGGAGGACCCACGUGGGCAUGGGGGUUAAGAGCAGCUUCAGUCCCCACAAGGGCCCCAGGAAGAGCCACCUGCCCCGAGAGCAAAUAAAGCUCCAGACCAAGGAGCUGCACUCUAUCAGGAGGGAGCUAAACCAGAUCAAAGCCCAGGUGGACCGUCUAUUGGAGAAUCUGGAGCGCAUGGACCAGCAGAGGGACCAGUUUCCAGGUGAAGAAUCAUGCAUCGGACCAGGAGGGCAGUCAGUAGAAGACUGGAAUUCCUCCCGGCUUCUUCCCAGACGGCUCCCUUCCUUGCCUCAUGGGGUUUUUGGAAGGCCUCCUGGUGGCACCUGUGCGACCAAAAGCACACAUUCUGGAAUGAGUACAAUGAAGCGGAGGUGUGGCUCACCACACCAGCUGGGAAGCCCCUCCGUAAUGGUUGCUUUUGCUUUUGGAGGCCAUGUUUCCAGAUAGUCCGGGGAGCUAAGAGGGAGGUCUAGCACAUGCUCACUAUCCUCAUGAGGGAGGCCGUCUGGCAAGGGGCGGAAGAACAGCGCCCCGCCCCCACCUUGGGAGCACAUCUGCCCCCUCUGACUGCAGGCAUUGCUUUGGCUGCUCUUCUCCCUGCCCCAGGCCCUGCCAGUUCUGUGUGGAGUGUCCCGCCCCCGCCGCCAGCCCAGCUUUCUCAGCUCCAGUGAUGCACAGGAAAUAAACUCAUGUUCUACGGACCCCUUCUGGUCUGAAACUGACCUUUAAGCUCCUUGGUGUGUGUCCCACAUGACCUCCUUUGGUUCCAGACUCCCCACCCAUCCACCCUCAUUCAGAAUAGAGUAUCAUUUUUAUGUCCUGUUUCUAUCUUGUCUCUCACUGGUGUGAUACUAUGUACUUCAGACCUGCUCUGGAAAUACUGUAAUGUCAAAGGAGAAAAAUAAAUUUGUAUUUCUUUUCCCUGGUC